UACGUUCCCGGGCCUUGUACACACCGCCCGUCACGUCACGAAAGUCGGCAACACCCGAAGCCGGUGGCCUAACCCGUAAGGGAGGGAGCCGUCGAAGGUGGGGCCGAGGCGAUUGGGACG
rnacentral:rRNA from 1 species